AAAUAUACAUGACUGAUUAAGGGAAGAAGGCUUGCUUCCCUUCAAGGAAUAAGUAGGUAGUUAAAAAAAAUUCAGUUAAGUAUGAUAUUUUUCCAUUUAAAAUCACUUUUGAAACUGAUUCUAUUAUAUACACAUCUUUGAUCUGGUAAAGAAAGAAAAAACAGGCCAGGGGUGGUGGCUCAUGUCUGUAAUCCCAGCACUUUGUGAGGCUGAGGUGGGUGGAUCACUUGUCAGGAGUUUGAGAUCAGCCUGAUAAACAUGGUAAAACCCCAUCUCUACUAAAAACACAAAAAUUAGCUGGGUAUUGUGGCGGGCAGCUAUAAUCCCAGUUAUGGGAGGCUGAGGCAGGAGAAUCACUUGAACCUGGGAGGCAGAG